GAUGAACGCUGGCGGCGUGCCUAAUACAUGCAAGUCGGACGGAGCGCUUCGGCGCUCAGUGGCGAACGGGUGAGUAGCACAUGGGCAACCUGCCCUUCAGAGGGGGACAACAGCUGGAAACGGCUGCUAAGACCGCAUAGCAUAUUGAAUCGGCAUCGGUUUAAUAUCAAAGGAGCAAUCCGCUGAAAGAUGGGCUCGCGUCUGAUUAGAUAGUUGGUGGGGUAACGGCCUACCAAGUCGACGAUCAGUAGCCGGACUGAGAGGUUGAACGGCCACAUUGGGACUGAGAUACGGCCCAG
rnacentral:rRNA from 1 species